UAUAUAUAUAUCGUUUUUUGGGUGACUCAGUGGGUUCGGUCAAUGCUUGUUAGCGCAAGGUCAUUUGUUCAAAUCCCAGGGUCAGCAGAGUGGUUUUUCUGUUGGGCCCCUGAGCGUGGCCCUUAACCCCCAGUUGUUGUAGGGACCCCGCUUUCCUCAGUUGUACGUUGCUUUGGAUAAAAGUGCCUGUUAAAUAAAUAGCUGUUAAAAGCAUUAAUGUGGAGCAGAACCCAGCCUGCGAUGGUUUUUGUUUGCAUGAUCGUCUGGGUUGGCCGUGAUUUCAGCGUGCGUGGUGCGCGGCGGGCAGGUUGGGUCACGACGCCCUGACAGGUGGAGUUACCUGUCUGAUGGGUUCCCGGCGCCUGCCUGCUCCAGGGGGAGGGUAUUAGGGCCGUGUUGGGGUCCAGCUCCCAGGGCCCUGGUGGUUAUAUCAUGACGCCUCAGUUGCGCUUGGCCGGCAAGUUGGUGCGUGCGGUGGUUCGUGUGUGAAUGUGUCACGCUGGGUUGGGGGUGGAGGGGGGGAGUUACUGGGACAGGUUACACCAUACCCCCCCCAGGGCGUGGGACUCGUGUGCUGCUACUGGGAUGCUGGUUCCCACAGCUUCACGCCCAGGUGAGUGUACCUGCACACUCGGAUACACCUGCUGCUGCCUGUCCCAGCUGGACCUAUGAUCCCCCAACCCUCCCCCCACCGAGAGGAACACCAACUUGGAGGAGUUUCAGUCACAUAUUAGAAAGGAAAGUAUAAUGCGAUUGCCAGACAAGUAUAAUUAUGACAAACAGGAUCAUGACACCCAUAAUUACCGGGGGGGACUGUCACUGCAGAAGCCCCCCCCCGCCCAGACGUGUAUGUGUACAGAUUUGGGUGUUAUGUUCAUCUUUUCACCCUACAGAGGAAAAUCCAGUAAGAGGGCUCGUUUAAACCUGUGGCCCCAUUUUUUGCCGGAUGGGUGUCCUGGACUGCCAGGGUGGCGGUGACCCCCCAUGCACGUCGCCGCAGUCCUGGAGUGCUGACAGACACGACGUGCAUGCCGCAUGCCGCAUGCUGCAUGCCGCAUGUCGCAUCGUCCGUCAUGACGGUGCCACCGCCUCUUAAUCCAGACCUGCUGAUUCCGGAUCAGAUUACAUCACCAUCUGUUUCUAGCGCAGCAUGCAGAGCAGAGGUUACGGGGAGGAGGAGAAUGCCCCCCCCCCUCCCCCCAUGGCAGCAGGAAGCGCACAGGUUCCCCAACCACUGGGGUGUCACCGGCAAACAUUUUCCCAUCAGAACACGUCCCAACGCCCCCGCCCACCUGACAACCCCGUCGCUCGGUGUGAGAAUCCGGCGCUGUCAGUACCCACGGUGUGAUGGGGGCGAAGGACGGCAGAUGUCAGGAUAACGGGAACCUGUCUGUACCUGACCGACGCUAAUGCUCACGCUCAGCCUGCGACUGCUCCCGUGUGCCGCGGGAGGUGGCAGGAGUCCCCGUGUGCGCUAACCUCUCACCGCUCUCAGAUUGCACCCAGAUUCACCGCAGCAUUGGGCCAAAAAAAUCUCAAAUUCACAGCAAAAUAAUAAUAAAAAAAACAAUCUCAA